CUAUAUCUGUCUAUCCAUGAACAAAGAGAAUGCAAAAUAUACUCUGAUAUCAGAACAACAAAGGAAAACAAAAUGCAUAUUUACAGGUGAAAGAAUCUUCCAGAGCUGCUGAAGACAGGUAAAAAUUCUGCCUCUGAACCUGCUAGCGACCCAGUAAGAAAGAAAGCAUACUCGUUGGCAAAGAGAAUAGUGGUACCAGAACUUUCUUCAGUCAGGCAGCCACGCCAGGAUCUGUUCCUUUUGGUUCCACUGACUUCGAAUUGGGCCAGGGCCUCACUGCAACUGCAGCUAGUUUAUGUCUGAUUUCAAAUAUGAUUUAGGGGAUUUAACUUUGUCCUUCAGCUCAAUCCCCAACUUUCUUUACUACUAUUGCUACAACUGAGGGACAAAUAAAUCCCUUUGAUCCUCCCAGG
rnacentral:lncRNA from 1 species